UACGGGGGGGGGCAAGCGUUGUUCGGAAUUACUGGGCGUAAAGGGCUCGUAGGCGGCCAACUAAGUCGGAUGUGAAAUCCCCAGGCUUAACCUGGGAACUGCAUCCGAUACUGGAUGGCUUGAAUUCGGGAGAGGGAUGCAGAAUUCCAGGUGUAGCGGUGAAAAUGCGUAGAUAUCUGGAGGAAUACCGGUGGCGAAGGCGGCAUCCUGGACCGAGAUUGACGCUGAUGAGCGAAAGCGUGGGGAGCGAACAGG
rnacentral:rRNA from 1 species